CCCGGUUAGCUCAAUCGGUAGAGCGUGAGACUCUUAAUCUCAAGGUUGCGGGUAAGUUCUUAUUCCUCCAAUUCGAGG